rnacentral:rRNA from 1 species
UCCGUGGUUCAAGACGGGUCGUUUAAAGCCAUUAUGCCAGCAUCCUAAGCGCGUUCGUGUCCGAAGACCGACCAUAAAGGCACGCUGCGUUCCUCAGUCCCGUCCGAUGCAUGUGAAAGAGGGCUAUAACACAUCCGAGGAUGCCACGUUCCCUCCAACUUUUUCCACCGGUCGAAACUGAUGCUGGCCUGUAGUCUGAGGAAUACACCGGCAGAACCGGCUGAACCUCAAACCACAUGACUGACUUCAAUCGUUUCCCUUUCAACAAUUUCACGUACUGUUUAACUCUCUUUCCAAAGUGCUUUUCAUCUUUCCCUCACGGUACUUGUUCGCUAUCGGUCUCUCGCCAAUAUUUAGCUUUAGAUGGAAUUUACCACCCAUUUUGAGCUGCAUUCCCAAACAACUCGACUCUUCGAGAGCGCAUCGCAGAGCAUAGAUGAUCUGUGUCAAGGACGGGAUUCUCACCCUCUAUGACGCCCUAUUCCAAGGGACUUGUACACAGGCCUACGCGGAAAACGCUUCUCUAGACUACAACUCGGACACAUCUUAGACUGCCAGAUUUUAAAUUUGAGCUCAUCCCGCUUCACUCGCCGUUACUAGGGGAAUCCUUGUUAGUUUCUUUUCCUCCGCUUAGUGAUAU